AACGAACGCUGGCGGCGUGCCUAACACAUGCAAGUCGAGCGAGAAAAUUCCCUUCGGGGGAGUGAGUACAGCGGCGAACGGGUGAGUACAACGUAGGUAACCUACCCCCGAGACUGGGAUAACCUGUCGAAAGACGGGCUAAUACCGGAUAAGACCACGAGGGCUGAGGCCCUUGGGGCAAAAGGUGGCCUCUGCUUGCAAGCUACCACUCGAGGAGGGGCCUGCGCGCCAUUAGCUAGUUGGGAGGU
rnacentral:rRNA from 1 species